rnacentral:snoRNA from 1 species
GCGUCUCUUGCCUCGCUCGGUCAGCGCGUCUUUUCAAUCGUCUGAUCUUGAGCUGGAUGCAUCCGUCUUUCGUCCAAGUGAUGUAGAUGAAUUGUAUGAGACUAGAGGAAACCUUUUAGCCGGUGAUCUUUGAGUACGGUCCUUUCCGAUCCUUCCACGGAAUUGGGUAUCGUAAUUUAUCCGUCGGUACAUCC